UGGGCCUUCAGUUACUGUGGAUAUGUGAGGGGCAAUUUUCCCCCUCGUCGAGGAAAACCUCCUCCAAAUAAGGCGGAACCAGAGACGGGUGUCCAGGAUGGUGCAAAUUUAAUGGAUCCUGUGAUGAGUCUCCUGGGUGCAACAUCAAUGGAAGAACUUGCAGAAUCAAUUGAACAACUGUUGCGUAACUUGAUCCUUCAUCAUAGAAGUGCAAUACCUCCACUCACUCCUUCAUCUGAUAGAGAUCCGAUAACAGAACUGUUAGCUAUGCUGUUCAAUUUGCCUACUUACUUGAAAGGAAUUCUGGGCAUAGAUCCAUUUGCCAUAGCACAAAAUGUUGCAGACCUUACUCCCGUGGGAGGAAUUCUGGGCACACAACCAUUUUCUUUGGCAAACCAGUUUACAAACCUUACUUCCUCCACAGGAGUUCUGGGCACAGAUCUUAGUUCCUUGAUACGAAUUAUUACCACAGAAAUACCAGUUGUUGUGGCACACAUUUUUCCUUCCCUUACUUUCUUGAUACGAACUCUGCGCACAGAACUAUGUGUUACCGAUCCUGCCGCAGGAGAUCCGGGCAGAGAACCAUAUAUUGUGGCACACAAUUUGAUCCUUGCUCAUGCACACGCGGUUAAUAUAUACAGGAAAAAUUAUAAGGUUUUCAUUUUAACAUUUCACCCAUAAAUAUAAAUAUACACACACACACACUUGAAGUUUUAUAACAAUUAAUUGAUUAUAAAUAUUAACAAAUUUGAACAUACAGGAUCACCAAGGAGGCACAAUAGGAAUGACGAAUGUUUCAAAGUGGUAUUAUCCAUAUAGGGACAUCCCAGAGGAUGUAGAGGCUGCUUCGAGGGGGGUCGAUUUUAUGUUAGGAUGGUAAUUAGUUUUUUCGUUUAGUUUAUCAUUACUACGAGUGAUUUUUCUGCAUCUCUAUAAAUUUUUACCUUUCCAAAUGCCUCGGAAGUUUGUUAAAUUGGAUUCCAUUAUCAAAAAAUUCUUCUCGUCCUUUAUUAUCCUUUAACCUGUUUUUACAUUUUUGGUGUUUGUAUAUUGUAUAAACCAUGUGCUCUUUUCCCAGAAUUCAUGAGAUUUCAUUUUUGUAGAAUUUCAAGCAGGAUAUCUAAUCAUAAUUAAUUUUUUUUUUCACACAUUUAUCCCGUUUCAGGUUUGUAGCCCCUGUAAUAACAGGAGAUUAUCCACCAUCCAUGAGAAAAAAUGUAGGAGAACCUCUUCCCAUAUUUACACCAGAGGAGGUGAAGCUAGUGAAAGGUUCAUGUGACUUUUUGGGAAUAAAUUACUAUACGUCUAAUUAUGCCAAAAAUAUACCUAAAAAGCGUUGUUCACGACCACAUUAUGACAAUGAUCGGCACGUUGAAGAUCAUAGUGAGUAUUAAGACCCUUUCUUGAGUUCAGUUAUAUUUUUUUAUCUUGACAUAAAGGAGACACUACAUGAAGCAAUAUAUUUACUUCUCAUUCUUUUGUAGCUCAUCGUAAUGGGAAGCCGAUUGGUGAACAGGUGAGUCAUUAACGUUACCCUUCCGUGAGGAAAACAAAAAUAGAAAUUGGAAUUUAUUAUUCUAAUAAUGUAGGCAUAUCAACAAUUUAUGGCGAUGCAUUGUCUUGUCAUAGAUUCGGAAUACAUAUUGUGGUUUACAUAAUUUCCAAUGCUUACGUAUAUUCUAAUGUUAAUAACAAUCUUUUUUACAUCGCACCAGGGUGGCUCGUCAUGGUUGUACAUUGUUCCAGAAGGAAUUUACCAUCUUAUGCUUCAUAUAAAGGAAAGAUAUAACAAUCCAGAGAUUUUUAUUACAGAGAAUGGUAUAUAUGCUCAUAUUUAUUAGUUUAUUUACAUAUAGCAAGAAUACAUACAAAUUUUUCAGAUAAUUUAAUGGUUUGUUGAAAUCCUCCAUGGUCUUUUGUAGGGGUGGAUGAAGUUAACAAUAAAGCCAUAACAGUUACAAAAGCUCGUGUUGAUGAAACAAGGAUGAAGUAUCACAGGAGCCAUCUGGCAUACCUUAAAAAGGCAAUGGAGUAAGUCACCAAUUUUUUCUUUUUCUUUUUUUUUUUUUGGAAUAUACAAUAGUUCAAUUAGAAAAAAAAUUUUGUAAGUUUUGAAAUUAAGUAACUAAUUUUCUUCUGUUUUCAGCCAUCAAGUGCGCGUGAAGGGUUACUUCAUAUGGUCAUUGCUUGAUAAUUUUGAAUGGGCCCAGGGUUACAAUUCUAGAUUUGGCAUUUUUUAUGUGGACUACGAGAAUGGACGUUUGACAAGAUUCCCAAAAACCUCAGCUGUAUGGUGGAUGAAUUUCCUUGAAAAUCCUAAGAAUCCAUGGAAUAGACUUCCAUUGAAGCUACAGGAUGUUGAAACUGAAGAAGAACGACAUGGUCCUGCAAAAAAGCCAAGAAGCGGCCUUGCUUAAAGUCAACAAUUACUAUUUUACUGCUUCCUUACUGAAUUAUAUUGUUGAAUAAUGCUAGCAUGGAUGCAUGCUUGAUGUUCCUUUAGUUUCUGCCUUAAUUCUCUCCUGGUAAGAGAAAUAAAUAAAUGCUGUAACUUAAUAGUCAUUAUGCUCAAAUAAUUGGAACCCUCUGAGGCUCCAAGUGUAACUCUCUUGUUUUCAGUUUGUGCAAUAAAAGAUUUGAGACCGGCUUUCUCCAUUUCUUGUAAAUUAGUAUAUUAUUUGUUCUUUUUAAUUAUUGAAAGUUGCUGCAGGCCUCCUACCUUUGCAAUGUAUGAAUUGAUCUUUAACUUACCUAUUUUGUUAAUGUCAUUCUCAACCUUUCCAAAUUGGGAUUGUCACUAGUUCCAUAUCCCAUAUCCAGUUGAAACUUAUAUAGAAGGAUUUUAUUCUUGUCAUACCACUUGACUUAUCUCAUCAUAUGGGUGGUGAUUGCUUAAAUUUUGCAAGUGUAUGGUCUCGUAGUCAAAUUAUAUGGUGUGAGAAAGUAUCGCUUCCACGAGAACAAAGUACUUAAUUUGAUUUCAAUUAAUAUUAACUCUAAUCGAAUAGCACAAUUUUGAUAAUAACUAAUUUAAUAUAUAACUAAGUGUAAAUCUGUUAAACUACUAAAAAGGAUUUAUGAACUAGAUGAUCAAUGUAGCUACUUCAUUUAAUAAUCUCUCUAGCAAUAAUAGACAUAUCCUCACAUGUGAACCUAUAUAUCUCAGUGAGGAUUGUGAACAUGUGAAAAUGCAUUUAAUCACUAGAACAUAUAAUUAAAUCAUGCAAAUCAUACAUGCAUAUCUUUAUCCUCUAUUGGACUCUAAUUGAUCAAUAUCACAUGCUAAUCCUUAUUCAUCCUCUAGAUUAAAAUAAGAAUCAAGAUCAAUUCAAUUAGGGAUUAAUUAAUUAAAAGGAUUAAUAUAAUAAUAAUAACUAUUCAAGCUAAACAAGUAGCAACGUCAAAGACUUGAAAUUGAGAUUAAAUAUCACUACAGAUCGUUCAUCGCCAUCCGAGUGACUAGAAAAUUUAGUCGAGCGUCAUAAAUUAAUAAAAAUGAAAGAUGGAAUAUUGAGACAUCACCCCACUUUUAAUUAUAGAAAGAAAAAGGAAAAAUAAUCUUGAACUGUUGAAUUUAUUCAAUGAUUCUCAACCAAUCCUCGUAUAUCUUCUUCUUCACCCAAAAUCAAUUGUUAAUUUAUUGUCUUGUGUAGGAGUAAUCCAAACACUAGAAUCUACACAUUGCAUCCCCUCUUAAUUCUAUUAAGUAUGAUAUACUUUUGGAGAAAAAAUCCAAGUAAAAAAAUCCCAUCACAUGAUGUUGCCUCACAUACAACAACAUUUUAUUUUGGACCCGCUCGUGUGACAAAUCUAACCAUAGUACUAUAUUUGUAGCCAUUACACUGGCCAGGCUAGAAGGUGGUAUGCGAUCAAAUUAUACUUUAGUCUGAAAAUCACAUGCAUGCUUUUAGGACUUACAUUUGGAUCCAUCUGCCGAGGGUAAUGUUUGCGUUUCAAAAAAAAAAAAAAAUAAUAAUAAUAAUAAAAAAUAUAUAUAUAUAUAUUACCAAAAUUAUUAGUAGAACGAAUGUGACACCUGAUUAAAGAAGCAAUAUAAAAUUAUUAUUCACUUUCACUUCUUUUUUUUCUUUUUUUUUUUUCUUUUUUCUUUUCUUCUUCUUUUUUUUUCCACUUUCAACUUAUAGGAUGUUAAGUUCCUUAAAUGAAGUUUUGUUCUAUCAUUUUUUUUUCAGGUGCGCACUGGGUAAACCCUCGGACUGACGCAAUAGUCUGCAAGCCAUGACAGUUAGGUAAACCGCACUAGGCAAGCCCGAUGCGACAGACUCGAUCGAGAAAAUGUUGGUAGGAGGAAUCGAACUAGUAAACAAAGGCCUCUGCGCUCACCAGGGGCGGACGCAGAAAUUUUUAGUUAGGAGACAUAAUUAAACUUUGUACAAAUCGAAAACUUUGUUCUUGAUUUUUGACUGAUUUAUACUCGAACUGAGAAAAUGUAGAUUUACAUUUUAAAAAUUUUUCUUUAUUAAUAUUUUGCUCAUCAUUUUCAUUCUUUUGAUUUCGAAUAGUCAUUUUAUUAAUAUUUUGUUCAUCACAAGAACGUAUUUAAUACAAACAAUCAAUUCAAGUGAUCGAAAGAAAAAAUAUAUUACCAAUAUUCAAUCAAAUAAAUACAAUUCUUUAAAUUGGAUAUAAUCAGUUCGAUACAUUCUAGGUACACAAAUAAGAUAGGAGAAAAUGUCAAUUUAGGUUUUAAUUAAUUGAAAUUUUGAUAGGAAAGUGAAAAUUUAUAGUAAAUGUGAUAAUUUGUAGAAAAAUUAUGGACAAAUUUUUAAAAAUUAGAAGGAUUAAAGUUUUGAUAAAAAAGUGUGAGAGAGAGCGUAAGAUAUAGUAAGAGAAAAGAGAGAAAAAAUUCAAAUUUAUUGUGAUUUUGCCCCUGUUUAGUAGAGUUUUAAAAUCAGAUUUUUAGUAUAUUUUGAUAAAAGUAAAAACUUUAAGGAUUCCAUGAAAUAUGUUAUUAAAAUUAAUUGCAAACUUUGAUUUAGAUUAAAAUUUAAAUUUCAAUUGAUACCCAAACAUGACUUAUCCAUACACAGGAAGGGGAAAAAAAAAUCAAAAAUCAAAGGUUGUGGGGUCACCUAACCCCCCUUGGGUCCGCCCAUGGUGCUCACCUACUCCACAAACUCGACCACCCCAUGAGGGGUAGUUUUAUUCUAUCUUUAGUUAAUUGAAGUGAGACACAAUCAUAAAGAUACAACAUGUAAAAAAAAAAAUUAAAAAAUUAAAAAAUUAAUCAUAACCCCCGUGUCUAUUAUAGGUUUUGAUUGAAGUUCCUCACUUUUAUAGUGUUUGUCGUUUUUUUUUUUUUUUUAAAUUUCCGUCACUUUUUUCACUUUAUUGAAUUUCUAUCACUUUCAACUCAUAGAGCAUUGUGUUCGUAAAAUGAAGUGAAACAUGUAGAGAAAAAUCAACCACCCGUGGAUCUAUUCUAAGGCUUUGAUUUGUGUUUCUUGCUUUUGGGAAUGUAUGUCAUUUUUUAAUUAAAAAGUGACACUUAACUUUUCAUAAUAUUUUUCACUUUCAAAAUACUUUUCAUAUGAUUUUUCAAAAGAACCUGUAAUUUUAAGGAUAUUUUGUAAAUUCCCCUUCUAGCAAACCAAUGGUUAGCCCAUAAGACCAAUGAACCUAUUCUACACGUUUAAUUGAAACUCAUCACAAUAUUAAUGCUUCAUCCCAUUUUGUUCCUACAAAAACAACACUAAUGUAAAUUUUUAGACGUACACAUUGUGAUUCCAAUUUUUAUUUUCUUCACUUCAUUUCCUAUUGAAAUCUUUACCUUGCUCAUUUCUAUUCACUGUACGCAAUAUCAUUUUAAUUUCCCUUUGCUGCCUUUAAUUUUUUCUUUUCAAUUGUUUCCACCAUUUCUUUACCCUAUAGUGCCAUAUCACCUUUACUCUACAAGGAAAAUAUAUAAAAAAAAAAGGUCAAUUUAAAAAUUGGAAUCUCAAUCUUUUUAUUUCAAACAAGUUAUUCCUCAUCCUUUCCUCUAUAUUUUUUGUAUUUUUUAAGCUUGCUUAUAUUUUCACUAUUUAUAAGAGAAUGGUAUUUACUAAAUUCAGCUCUUUAAAAGCAUUUGUCAUUGACGGGAUGUUGAGCACACAUCACGUCUUCCAUUUCAGUCCAAUGAAGAAUGGAAUUUUCCCUUUCGUUUCUGAGAAGAUGUAUAAUUAUAAAAUUCAUUUGGAUUAUAUUUUGGAGUAAAAACAUGGACUCGUGUAGAUCCAGGUGUCCUUUGCCUGUGAAAAUGAGCACUAUCUGCACCUAAAUAAAAAGACCCUAUAAAACUUUAAUGUUCUCUUUGAUUAGGUUUGGGCUAGUCAACUAUUGACGAAAUGCAUUAAAAUAAUUUCUUCCUCCUUUUCUUAAACACAAACAUUUUAAAAAAUAAAUAAUCAUUUUCAAUAAAAUUAAUCAUUGACAUGAAAUUCAAAAUACUACAUUCGAUUUAAACUGGGCUUUCUAACUACCUAUUCACAGUGAGUUAUUUAAUUAUAAUUAAAAAAUUUAAAUUCUUUCCUGUUAAAUUUUUUUUUUUUACUAAUCCAACAUCUUAACUUCCCACUGAUUGAGAUAAAAAAAAAAAAAAAGCGCAAUAUUAAUUUAAAAACCGCUCCACUAAAUGACUGAAAUUGUACUCCAUGAUUGCAAAUUUACUUCAAUAAUUAAGAAUUCAAUCCAUAUCAUUCCAUUACCCAAUUAAAUUGGUAACAAGUUCCAUUAAUUCAGUUUUUAUUUUAUCCUUACACCUUUCAGUUUCCCAUAAAUCCAAAAUCAAUAUUCUCGAACAGUAGAAACAUAUUUAAUGUUUAUUCACUCAUGCGCAAGAAUAUCUAUUCACAACUAGAAACCAUCCAAUGAAUAUCUCAUGCAAAUUCUACAAUACUUGAAGAGUUAUAAUUUAAUAAAUAUUUUCAAGAAGUCAAAAAUUUAUCGACUUAGUAUUUCAAAGAGCAACCCAAAUAGAAAAUAUCUGUAAACAAAAAUUAUAAAUAACUCAAGAUGCCUAAUUGGGAAAAUCUAAGAAAGGCCAAGAAGUAAUGAGAAGGAAGUAAAGAAUGACUUAAAGCUGCAUACAUAUUUUAUCUCUGUACUUGCAUUUACUUUAAUAAAGAAGUAUUUAUGCCUUUCCCCAUUAUAUUAUAAUUACUUUGUGCUUCUUGUCAAAUUGUAUGGUAUAAGCAUUCAAAAAUCCAGUUUAUAAAUAGAGUGCAUGAACUAGAGGAACCGCACACUUCUCUCAACUAACUAUAAUAUCUCAUCUUGCUCAUUCCAAUGGAGUCCUCCCAAUCUUAAGUUAAACGCUCUAAUUUUCCCAAGAAUUUUAUUUUCGGUGCUGCAACAUCGGCAUAUCAGGUGUGUAACUAACUAGUUUAUAUUUUCAUAUACCGUAUCAAGCAAUAAUGAAAAAAGAAUGGACAAGAUUUUAAUUUUUUUUACUUUAUUAUCACUGUCCUUUAUUAUUACAUACACCUUAUCAAACAUACCACGUAUGUUUGAAAAUAAUUAAAAUUCUCUAACAUCAUCAUCAAAAUGCAAGACUACGUAUCUAAGAGAUUUGUGAUGGACCAACCAACUCCGUCGUCACAUCUAUAUGUGUAUUCAAUGUAACAUUACUUAAGUUUUUCAUAUUGUUAAGUCAGAUGGAUUCCACCCAAAUCUAGGUCAAAUGGUCUAAUUUUUAUAAGGUUUUAUCUUAGGUGCUACAACAUCAGCUUAUCAAGUGUAUGUAAUUGGUAUGUUGUAGUAUGUUUCAUCAAAUAGUAUUGGACCGAAAGGACAAUACUUAAUCUAUUAUUACUUCAUUAAUAUUGUCCAAUAUUAUUAAAACACACCUUAUCCAAUAUUACGCUAAUGUUUGAAAAUAAUGAAGAAUCACUUAAACCAUCAUGAGAACGCAUGAAUGCAUAUGUUAGAAGGUCCAUUCACAUGUAAUAAUUUGGUUGUUUCUUCUUAAUUUCUGGAUAUAUAAUUUCUUUCAUGGAUUAUGUAUUUAAUUACUGCAGGUCGAACGUGCUUGGAACGAAGGUGGUAAAGGCAGGAGUAAUUGGGACGUUAUGACUCUACAUUCACCUGGUCUCUCUCUCUCUCUCUCAUAUUUAUUAAUAUGUUGAUGUUAAUCCUACGUAGACUAAAUAUAAAAAUAUUAACCAACAUAUAAAAACUACUUCUUUUAACAAUGUUGACCCUUUAAGAUGAAAUUUCUAUUCUCAUAUAGAGCCAACAAGCUCAAACAAGCUAUAUGAUCCAUCUGAAGCUAGGGAUGUCAAUCCUGCUCGAGCGGCCCACGUCUCGGCCCAUAAAAAACUUGAGUUGAGGCAAGGCUCGUGGCUUGGUGGAACUGUUUUACCUUUUUUUUUUUUUCUUUUUUUUCAUUCGGGAUAUAGAUUAGUCAUGUAUUUGUUUUUACUUGAUUUUUUAUUUUACGUUUUUGGGUCAUUUUAUUGAUUACUUCUGCUAUCUAUUAUUAAUAUCGCGAUGAACAAGAAAAUCUCUUCUUUUUCCUUUUUUUUGCCCCCAGCUUUCUGCCAUUUCAAAGAGGGUUUAGACAAAUUUUUGUCAACAUUUAUUCAUCUAGUGAAUUACAAGAUAGACUUCUUGGUAUACUCAUGGAUAAAUCCGAUGCCGUUUAGAUCCAUCAUUUGAGUAAUUCAUAGCUAUUGGCGCACAUUAUAGUAGUUAUGGCGGAAUGGUGGAUCACAGCCAGGUCAAGGUGUGGAAAUUUUUCCAUCCAAGAUAGGGUCCCUAAAACUGAUGCUGUUACAUGGGAAUUUGGAUAUUUGUGUUAACGAAGCUCAAAAUCUCCCAAACAUGGAUUUAUUCGACAAGAAGCUAGUGAUAUUUGCUUCAGGUGGUGCCUGUAGGCUGCUGCCAGUAUAAAUUAUAUUAUAAAAUAAAAAAAGAGUAGGCUCGGGCUCGCCCCAAGUCUAAAAGCUAGAGCCGAAAAACCUCAAGCCGUUUUAUGCUCAAACUGCACCCGAACCGUGAUCUUCAACUCAAAAGCCCGCUCGACCCAACUUGUUUACAUAUCUAUUUGAAGCUCUCAAACAAGCAUUUGGAUUUUAAGAAUGAUGUUUCAAGCUAGUUCACUAUCCUAUGGAGGCACGUUAAAGCAUAAUCUCAUAUCAGUUAUAUAUAAAAUAUUAAUCAACAUAAGGACUCGUGCUACUCAUUUUAAUAAAAUUAAAGUUUUAGGACAAGACCCCUCAUUCUUAAUAAUAUACACAUAAGCACGUGUUAGUAUAUACAUAUACAAGAAUUGUACUUGUGUUUUUAUACAAUGAUCAUUGGUGAGCAUAUAUUUAUGUUUACUAAUUGGAGUGGCAGAUAGCACUGCGGAUGGUAGAAAUGGGUGCGUCGCUCUUGAUCACUAUAACUUGUUCAAGGUAUAUGUACUUCAUUUAAUUUUCUUGUGGCAAAGUGAUGGUAAUUACUUUAGUGGACUAAUAUAAAUGGAAAAUAAUCUCAAAUCUAAGAAGUAAUAAGAGGAACUUUAGAGUGUAUUUGAGCCACAUUCUUUUUAAAGAAUGUAUUUUGGAAUAUUUGAUUGGUGGAGAAUGUGUGGUUAAAAAUGAAGGAAAAUUUUUUGAUUUGUGUGUAAUAUUAGUUUAACAACUGAAGAGAAAAUGAAUUGGACUUUCAACUUUAAAUGAAUUAAGAGGACAUUAUAAAAAAUGUCCAUUUUGACAUAAUCAUUGGCAAAAAUGUCCAAAAUUUUUUAAUGUCUAUUUUUGCAAUUAUUUGGACGAGAGUACUCCUAAGUAGCUUCCAUAAAAAGUUACAUUAAAAUGAUGUUCUGGACAUUUCAAAUGUCGUUUUUGAUAUUUGAAUUCAUUUAUAUUUCAAAAGUACACAUGUCAAAUCACAAUAUUAAAUGUUCUCGAUAUUUCAAACAUUGUUCUCGACAUAUUAAAUGUCUAAAAGGAUAUUUCAUUUCAAACAUGAUAUUUCUCUACACUUUAAAUGUUGAUCUCGAUAUUUCUGUGUUUGGCAUUAAUUGCAAUUUGACAUAUGCAAUAUGAAGUUAUUUAUUCUCUCAUAAAGGGUAAAAUAGAGGAUUUGGUAUCAAAUUUGGCCAUUUUUGCAAAGAUUAUCAAAAGUGGACAUUUUCGAAUUAAUAUAUGUAAAAUUGGACAUUUUUUGCCAAUGUGUCAUGAAUUAAAUGAUUCUUGGUAAGCAACAAUAACAUUAAUUCGUCCCCAAUAUUCAAAAUGAUAAAUUCAUGACCACCAUUUCGAACCUAACGUUUAAGAUGUGUUGAUACUUUGUUAGCACUUGAAGUCAAAAAGUCUAACUUUGAAAAAAAACUGAAGAUACAUAACUAGGGAAUGCUAUAUGGGCGGCAGACAACCCCCAGCCCUGUUUGGAUAGGGGCUGUUCAAGGAGUUUUAUCCUACAUAACUGUUUUCCAUUGUACUUGAUUGUACUACAGUUUAAGCCACCAAGAAUAAAUAUUUUUCAUUGUAAGUUGUACUCAUUUUCAUUAUUAAUGUUGCAGGAAGACGUGGCUUUGAUCAAGAAAGUUGGUUUGGACUCUUAUAGAUUUUCAAUUGCAUGGUCGAGAAUCUUACCAUGUAUUGGACUCUACUUCUAUAAAAUUAAUUACAAAGAGAUUUUUUUUNNNNNNNNNNNNNNNNNNNNNNNNNNNNNNNNNNNNNNNNNNNNNNNNNNNNNNNNNNNNNNNNNNNNNNNNNNNNNNNNNNNNNNNNNNNNNNNNNNNNNNNNNNNNNNNNNNNNNNNNNNNNNNNNNNNNNNNNNNNNNNNNNNNNNNNNNNNNNNNNNNNNNNNNNNNNNNNNNNNNNNNNNNNNNNNNNNNNNNNNNNNNNNNNNNNNNNNNNNNNNNNNNNNNNNNNNNNNNNNNNNNNNNNNNNNNNNNNNNNNNNNNNNNNNNNNNNNNNNNNNNNNNNNNNNNNNNNNNNNNNNNNNNNNNNNNNNNNNNNNNNNNNNNNNNNNNNNNNNNNNNNNNNNNNNNNNNNNNNNNNNNNNNNNNNNNNNNNNNNNNNNNNNNNNNNNNNNNNNNNNNNNNNNNNNNNNNNNNNNNNNNNNNNNNNNNNNNNNNNNNNNNNNNNNNNNNNNNNNNNNNNNNNNNNNNNNNNNNNNNNNNNNNNNNNNNNNNNNNNNNNNNNNNNNNNNNNNNNNNNNNNNNNNNNNNNNNNNNNNNNNNNNNNNNNNNNNNNNNNNNNNNNNNNNNNNNNNNNNNNNNNNNNNNNNNNNNNNNNNNNNNNNNNNNNNNNNNNNNNNNNNNNNNNNNNNNNNNNNNNNNNNNNNNNNNNNNNNNNNNNNNNNNNNNNNNNNNNNNNNNNNNNNNNNNNNNNNNNNNNNNNNNNNNNNNNNNNNNNNNNNNNNNNNNNNNNNNNNNNNNNNNNNNNNNNNNNNNNNNNNNNNNNNNNNNNNNNNNNNNNNNNNNNNNNNNNNNNNNNNNNNNNNNNNNNNNNNNNNNNNNNNNNNNNNNNNNNNNNNNNNNNNNNNNNNNNNNNNNNNNNNNNNNNNNNNNNNNNNNNNNNNNNNNNNNNNNNNNNNNNNNNNNNNNNNNNNNNNNNNNNNNNNNNNNNNNNNNNNNNNNNNNNNNNNNNNNNNNNGAGAUGGAUAGCAACGCAGUUGCUAAUCUGCACCUUGUACUAGCAGAUGGAGUAUUGUCAAGUGUGGCAGAGAAAAAGACGACCAAAGAGAUAUGGGAUACGCUGACAAAGCUGUACGAGGCCAACUCGUUACACAACAAAAUCUUCUUAAAAAGAAAACUUUACACCCUUAGGAUGAUGGAGUCAACUACGGUGACAGACCACAUCAACACCCUCAACACUCUAUUUUCACAACUCACAUCAAUGGAGCAUAAUAUAGAGACUGGUGAACGUGCUGAAAUCUUACUUCAAAGUCUACCAGAUUCGUAUGAUCAACUCAUCAUCAACUUAACCAACAACCUUGAAACUCUAGUCUUCGAUGAUAUUGCAGCUGCUAUUCUUGAAGAGGAAAGUAGGCGCAAGAACAAGGAGGACAGAUUGACAAGUUCGCAUCAGGCGAAAGCUUUGACGAUGAUGAGAGGGAGAUCAAUGGAACGUGGCUCAAGUGGGAGUCAUAAUCGAAGGAGAUCAAAAUCCAGGAGUAAGAAAAAUGUCAAGUGUUAUUACUGUGGCAAGAAAGGGCACUUAAAAGGGGAUUGUUGGAGUCUCAAGAAAAAUGAAGAAGACAAAGGAAAAGGUCCUGAGACUUCAAAAUCUCAAAGUUGUGUAGCAAGAACCUCAAAUGAUGGUGAAAUUUUAUACAGCGAGGCAACUACAGUUGUUGAAGGCAGAAAGAAAUUUUCUGAUGUAUGGCUUAUGAAUUCAGGAGCUACAUGGCACAUGACACCAAGGAGGGAAUGGUUCAAUCAGUAUGAACCUAUCCCAGGAGGAUAUGUGUUUAUGGGAAAUGAUCAUGCCUUGGAGAUCGCUGGUAUUGGUACCAUCAAAUUGAAAAUGUAUGAUGGUACAGUUCGCACUAUCCAGGAGGUACAACACGUAAGAGGCUUGAUGAAAAAUCUGUUGUCUCUAGGGCAAUUGGACAUCAUUGGAUGCAAAACCCAUAUACAAGAUGGAAUCAUAAAGAUUUUCAAAGGCGCGCUUGUGGUGAUGAAAGCAGAAAAGGUAGCUACAAAUUUGUACAUGCUUAAAGGAAAAACACUACAAGAAGGAGAAGCAUUAGUUGCAUCAACAUGUUCAACAAAAGAAUUAACAAUGAUGUGGCAUCGCAAGCUUGGCCACAUGUCGGAACGUGGUUUGAAAAUUCUCUCAGAACAAAAGCUUCUUCCAGGGCUCAAAAAGGUUUCAUUACCCUUUUGUGAGCAUUGUGUUACUAGUGAGCAGCACAGAUUAAAGUUUAGCACUUCCACUGCUAGAAGUAAAGCUAUCUUGGAGCUGGUCCAUUCCGAUGUUUGGCAAGCACCGGUUAUAUCCUUAGGAGGUGCAGGAUACUUUGUAUCUUUUAUUGAUGAUUACUCCAGGAGAUGUUGGGUAUAUCCAAUCAAGAGGAAGGCAGAUGUAUUCGCAGUCUUCAAAAUAUUCAAAGCGCGUGUGGAACUUGAAUCUGAAAGGAAGAUCAAGUGUAUAAGGACUGACAAUGGAUGAGAAUAUACUUGUGAUGAAUUUGAUAACUUCUGUCAACAAGAAGGUAUCAAGAGACAGUUCACAGUGGCAUACACUCCACAGCAAAAUGGAGUGGCAGAGCGGAUGAACAGAACAUUGUUAGAAAGAACAAGGGCAAUGUUGAGAACUGCAGGGCUAGCCAAGUCAUUCUGGGCAGAAGCAGUCAAAACUACCUGUUAUGUGAUCAAUCGGUCGCCAUCAACCGCAAUUGAUUUGAAGACGCCUAUGGAAAUGUGGACUGGUAAACCAACUGAUUAUUCUCACUUACAUGUGUUUGGAAGUCCUGUGUAUGUUAUGUACAACACCCAAGAAACAUCAAAGUUAGAUCCAAAAUCCAGAAAAUGUAUUUUCUUAGGUUAUGCUGAUGGAGUGACGGGGUACCGCCUGUGGGAUCCCACUGCUCACAAGGUGAUAAUCAGCAGAGAUGUCAUAUUUGCGGAAGGCAAAAUAUAGGAAAAAGGAAAUGAUAGCACUUCAAAAGAAAAACUAAAGACUGCUACAGUCGAAGUUGGAGAUGAACGAGAUGUUAUAGAUUCUCCUGAAGCAACACUAGAGCAUGAAGAACAAGAACAAGCUGAGUCUAGUGCUCCAGAUGUUCGACGAUCAACUCGGGAGAGAAAAGAACCGGCUUGGCACUCAGAUUAUAUUAUGGAGGGCAAUGUUGCAUACUGCUUACUGACAGAAGAUGGAGAGCCAUCAACUUUCCAUGAGGCUAUAAAUAGUUAAGAAGUUUCUCUGUGGAUGGCAGCAAUGCAAGAAGAAAUUGAAGCUCUUCAAAAGAACAAGACAUGUGAUCUUGUUCCACUACCACAAAAAAGGAAGGCCAUUGGGAAUAAAUGGGUCUACAAGAUCAAACGAGAUGGCAAUGACCAAGUGGAGCGGUAUCGUGCGAGACUGGUGGUGAAGGGAUAUGCUCAGAAAGAAGGCAUAGACUUCAACGAAAUAUUUUCUCCUGUGGUUCGACUCACAACAAUUCGAGUAAUCCUGGCGAUGUGUGCUACAUUUGACUUACACCUGGAGCGGUUAGAUGUGAAAACUGCAUUUCCUCAUGGAGAACUUGAAGAAGAGAUUUAUAUGCUCCAACCAGAAGGUUUUAAAGAAAUAGGGAAAGAGAACUUGGUUUGCAGGUUGAACAAAUCUCUAUACGGUCUCAAAUAGCCGCCGAGAUGCUGGUAUAAGAGAUUUGAUUCCUUCAUCAUGAGCCUUAGAUAUAACAUACUCUGUUCAGAUCCAUGUGCAUACUACAUGAGAUUUGGUGAUAAUGAUUUCAUUAUCUUGCUGUUGUACGUUGACGACAUGUUGGUAGCAGGCCCCAACAAAGAUUGUAUUGAAAACCUGAAGGCUCAAUUGGCUAGGGAGUUUGAUAUGAAAGACUUGGGACCGGGAAACAAGAUUCUAGGGAUGCAAAUUUACCGAGAUAGAAAUAAUAGAAUGAUUUGGCUUAGUCAGAAAAACUACUUGAAGAAAAUCUUGCGUCGCUUCAAUAUGCAAGAUUGUAAGCCAAUUUCUACCCCUCUUCCUAUUAAUUUCAAGUUAUCCUCAAGUACGAGCCCUAGCAGCGAAGCAGAGAGGAUGGAGAUGUCUCGAGUGCCGUAUGCAUCAGCAGUGGGUAGUUUGAUGUUUGCUAUGAUCUGUACAAGACCAGACAUUGCACAAGCAGUGGGAGCGGUUAGUCGAUACAUGGCAAAUCCUGGUAAAGAGCAUUGGAGUACUGUGAAGAGGAUCCUGAGAUAUGUCAAGGGUACCUCAAAUGCUACAUUAUGUUAUGGAGGAUCAGACUUUAUUGUCAAAGGCUAUGUUGAUUCAGAUUAUGCAGGUGAUCUUGAUAAAAGCAAAUCCACCACAGGAUAUGUGUUUACUUUUGCUGGAGGAGCUGUAAGCUGGGUUUCGAAACUGCAGUCUAUCGUGGCUACUUCUACUACAGAGGCAGAAUACGUGGCAGCUACACAAGCCAGUAAAGAGGCAAUCUGGCUACAAAUGAUAAUGGAGGAGCUCGGACACAAACUAGAGAAGAUUGCUCUAUUUUGUGAUAGUCAGAGCGCUUUGCAUUUGGCAAAGAAUCCAACAUUUCAUCAGAGGACAAAGCAUAUUCGAGUUCAAUAUCACUUUGUUCGAGAGAAGGAGGAGGAAGGAAGUGUGGAUAUACAGAAGAUCCAUACAGCAGAUAACCUAGCAAAUAUGUUAACAAAGCCGAUCGGAACUAACAAGUUUAGAUGAUGUCGAUCCUCCAUCGGCCCAGCAGAAACGUAAGUAGCAUGGAAAAGGCAAGUAUUGGAAGGAUGAAGUGGUCAACAAAAGUGACUUUAAGUGGGAGAAAUGUUGAAUAUUAAAGCCACAAUUGUUGACUCCAAUAAAAAUUUUAGUAGAAACUUCAUGAAGAAGUUUUCAAGUUGCAAGUAACCAACUUGAAUUUGAAUUCCUUUCCACCAAUCACAACUUGGAAGUGGCAAAAUUGAAGUGAAACUCUCCUAGCUACCAUAAUUGACUAUUUAAGAAGAAAAUUUCUAUUGAAAUUCUUCUUGUUUUCAUGUAGAUACUUCCAUUAAGGAGGUUAACAAUUUCUAUAAAUAGAGGUAGAUGUGGGGAGAGAGAAUGCAAGCAACUUGAGAGGAAUUAGAGAGUAGAGAGAAGAUUGGGAGUAGAGGGAAAAAAAAUUAUUAGUUUCUCCUAAGUAUUACCUUCUUGUAUUCUCAUAUUACAAGAGAGAUUAAUUGUUGUUAUCUUCUUGUAUUUAGAGAGUGUUGUAAUUCUCCUACUAUAGUGAAAUCCUCCUAUACUUGCCCGUGGACGUAGCCUAAAUUGGGUGAACCACGUAAAUACUUGUGUCCAUUUUCAGCGCGAUUUCUCAAUUCCAUUUUGUUGUAAAGCCAAAGUCGACCCACGUUAUUUCUAACAAUAUAUAUAUAAUUCACAUGUUUGUUGUUUCUUUAAGAAGCUGAUGUUCAUUUUUAUUUAAUUAAUUCAUAAUUGGAAGUUCAUAGUUGAUAUGCCUUUGAAAUCAUUUAUCUUCUUAUAUGCUAUAAACAUAAAAUCAAAAGAUAUUAUCUUGAGUUCUCCUCAUUACUUUCGUGUAGGCAUUGAGCCGUGUGCAACUAUCUUCCACUGGGAUCUUCCCCAAUGUUUGGAAGAUGAAUAUGGUGGCUUCUUAGAUCAUCAAGUUGUGUAAGUAACUUCAUCUUGCAUCACAGGGAACAUCUUGUACUAUAUAUUUGACAAAGGAAUUAAGCAAAGUUAUUUUCUCAAAAACUAUGUUUCAAAGGAAAGAGCAGAAACGAUUUCUUCAAAGAAAAUGGAUACUAAUAAGUGAUAGAAUAAUGGCAGAAUGAUCUCUUGUAUAAAGAUUAAUGGCAGAUUUGUUUACACAGAUAUGUUUUGAUAUUAACUUGUUCCACAUUGCUAUUACAGAAAACAUUUUUGUGAGUUCGCUGAGGUUUGCUUUUGGGAGUUUGGUGAUCGAGUGAAACGUUGGAUCACACUGAAUAAGCCAUGGGCCUUCAGUUACUGUGGAUAUGUGAGGGGCAAUUUUUCCCCUCGUCGAGGAAAACCUCCUCCAAAUAAGGCGGAACCAGCGACGGGUGUCCAGGAUGGUGCAAAUUUAAUGGAUCAUGUGAUGAAUCUCCUGGGUGCAACAUCAAUGGAAGAACUUGCAGCAUCAAUUGAACAACUGUUGCGUAACUUGAUCCUUCAUCAUAGAAGUGCAAUACCUCCACUCACUCCUCCAUCUGAUAGAGAUCCGAUAACAGAACUGUUAGCUAUGCUGUUCAAUUUGCCUACUUGAAAGGAAUUCUGGGCAUAGAUCCAUUUGCCAUAGCACAAAAUGUUGCAGACCUUACUCCCGUGGGAGGAAUGCUGGGCACAUAACCAUUUUCUUUGGCAAACCAGUUUACAAACCUUACUUCCUCCACAGGAGUUCUGGGCACAGAACUUAGUUCCUUGAUACGAAUUAUUAGCACAGAAAUACCAGCUGUUAUGGCACACAUUUUUCCUUCGCUUACUUUCUUGAUACGAACUCUGUGCACAGAACUAUUUGUUACGGAUCCUGCCGCAGGAGAUCCGGGCCGAGAACCAUAUAUUGUGGCACACAAUUUGAUCCUUGCUCAUGCACAUGCGGUUAAUAUACAUUUUAACAUUUCACACAUAAAUAUAAAUAUAUACAGAUUCACACACCUGAAGUUUUAUAACAAUUAAUUGAUUAUAAAUAUUAACAACUUUGAACAUACAGGAACACCAAGGAGGCACAAUAGGAAUGACAAACGUUUCAACGUGGUAUUAUCCAUAUAGGGACAUCCCAGAGGAUGUAGAGGCUGCUUUGAGGGCGGUCGAUUUUAUGUUAGGAUGGUAAUUAGUUUUUUCGUUUAGUUUAUCAUUACUAUGAGUGAUUUUUCUGCAUCUCUAUAAAUUUUUAACUUUCCAAAUGCCUCGGAAGUUGUUAAAUUGAAUUCCAUUAUCAAAAAAUUCUUCUCCUCUUUCUUUGUUAUCCUUUAACCUGUUUUUACAUUUUUGGUGUUUGUAUAUUGUCUAAACCAUGUGCUCUUUUCCCAGAAUUCAUGAGAUUUCAUUUUUGUAGAAUUUCAGGUACGACAUCUAAUCAUAAUUAAAAAAAAUUUCACAUAUUUAUCCUGUUUCAGGUUUGUAGCCCCUGUAAUAACAGGUGAUUAUCCAUCAUCCAUGAAAAAAAAUGUAGGAGAACGUCUGCCCAUAUUUACACCAGAGGAGGUGAAGCUAGUGAAAGGUUCAUGCGACUUUUUGGGAAUAAAUUACCAUACGUCUUCUUAUGCCAAAAAUAUACCUAAGAAGCAUUGUUGACGACCACAUUAUGACAAUGAUCGGCACGUUGAAAAUCAUAGUGAGUAUUACGACCCUUUCUUGAGUUCAGUUAUAUUUUUUUAUCCUGACAUAAAGGAGACACUACAUGAGGCAACAUAUUUACUUCUCAUUCUUUUGUAGCUCAUCGUAAUGGGAAACCGAUUGGUGAACAGGUGAGUCAUCAAUGUUACCCUUCCGCAAGGAAAACAAAAAUAGAAAUUGGAAUUUAUCAUUCUAAUAAUUUAGGCAUAUCAACUAUUUAUGGUGAUGCAUUGUCACGUCAUAGAUUCGGAAUACAUAUUAUGGUUUACAUAAUUUCCAAUGCUUGCGUAUAUUCUAAUGUUAAUAACAAUCAUUUUAACUUUGCACCAGGAUGGCUCGUCAUGGUUGUACAUAGUUCCAGAAGGACUUUACCAUCUCAUGCUUCAUAUAAAGGACAGAUAUAAUGAUCCCGAGAUUUUCAUCACUGAGAAUGGUAUAUACACUCAUAUUUAUUAGUUUAUUUAUAUAUAGCAAGAAUACAUACUAAUUUUUCAGAUAAUUUAAUGGUUUGUUGAAAUCCUCCAUGAUCUUUUGUCGGGGUGGAUGAAGUUAACAAUAAAGCCAUAACAGUUACAAAAGCCCAUAUUGACCAAAAGAGGAUGAAGUAUCACAGGAGCCAUCUGGCAUACCUUAAGAAGGCAAUGGAGUAAGUCACUAUUUUUUUUUUUUUGUUGCAUAAAUAAUCAUUAAAAAAAAAUGUAAGUUCUGAGAUUAAUCAACUAAUUUUCUUCUGUUUUCAGGCAUCAUGUGCGCGUGAAGGGUUACUUCAUAUGGUCAUUGCUUGAUAAUUUUGAACGGGCCCAGGGUUACAAUUCUAGAUUUGGCAUUUUUUAUCUGGACUACGAGAAUGGACGUUUGACAAGAUUCCCAAAAACCUCAGCUGUAUGGUGGAUGAAUUUCCUUGAAAAUCCUAAGAAUCCAUGGAAUAGACUUCCAUUGAAGCUACAGGAUGUUGAAACUGAAGAAGAACGACAUGGUCCUGCAAAAAAGCCAAGAAGCGGCGUUGCUUAAAGUCAACAAUUACUAUUUUACUGCUUCCUUACUGAAUUAUAUUGUUGAAUAAUGCUAGCAUGGAUGCAUGCUUGAUGUUCCUUUAGUUUCUUCCUGAAUUCUCUCCUGGGAAGAGAAAUAAAUAAAUGCUGUAACUUAAUAGUCAUUAUGCUCAAAUAAUUGGAACCCUCUGAGGCUCUAAGUGUAACUCUGUUGUUUUCGGUUUGUGCAAUAAAAGAUUUGAGACCGGCUUGCUCCAAUUCUUGUAAAUUAGUAUACUAUUUUGUUCUUUUUAAUUACAGAAAGUUGCUGCAGGCCUCCUGACCUUUGCAAUGUAUAUUUUGUUAGUGCCAUUCUCAACCUUUCCAAAUUGGGAUUGUCACUAGUUUCGUAUCCCAUAACCAGUUGAAAGAAGGAUUUUAUUCUGGUUAUACCACUUGACUUAUCUCAUCAUAUGGGCAGUGAUUGCUUAAAUCUCGCAAGUGUACGGUAUCGUAGUCAAAUCAUAUGGUGUGAGAAAGUAUCGCUUCCAUGAAAACUAAGUAGUACUUAAUUUGAUUUCAAUUAAUAUUAACUCUAAUUGAAUAGCACAAUAUUGAUAAUAACUAAUUUAAUAUAUAACUAAGGGUCCAUUUGAUUGCAAAGAUGGAAAGGGCAAACUAAUUUCAUGUAAAUUGGAAAAGAAAAAACCACUAAAACCAUAGGAAUGCAUUUUCAUGGAAUUGGUCAAAAAUAUGCUUAAAGUAUUUUUACUUUGGAAUUCAAACUCCGUUUCCACUUUUGUAUCAAAUAGCCAAAGUAGAAAACGAAUUUUUCGGAUGUGACAUUUUCCAUGUAAUUAACUCCAAUCAAACGGACCCUAAGUGUAAAUAGGUUAAACUACUAAAAAGGAUUUAUGAACUAGAUGACCAAUGUAGCUACUUCAUUUAAUAAUCUCUCUCUAGCAAUAAUAGACAUAUCCUCACAUGUGAACCUAUACAUCUCAGUAAGGAGGAUUGUGAACAUGUGAAAAUGCAUUUAAUCACUAGAACAUAUAAUUAAAUCAUGCAAAUCAUGCGUGUAUAUCUUUAGCCCCUAUUGGACUCUAAUUGAUCGAUAUCACAUGCUAAUCCUUAUUCAUCCUCUAGAUUAAAAUAAGUAUCAUGAUCAAUUCAAUUAGGGAUUAAUUAAUUAAAAGGAUUAAUAUAAUGAUAAUCAUUCAAGCUAAACAAGUACCAACGUCAAAGACUUGAAAUUGAGAUUAAACAUCACUUCAUAUCGUUCAUCGCCAUCCGAGUGACUAGAAAAUUUAGUCGAGCGUCAUAAAUUAAUAAAACAAAAGAUGGAAUAUUGAGACAUCACCCCACUUUUAAUUAUAGAAAGAAAAAGGAAAAAUAAUCUUGAACUGUUGAAUUUAUUCAAUGAUUCUCAACCAAUCCUCGUAUAUCUUCUUCUUCACCCAAAAUCAAUAGUUAAUUUAUUGUCUUGUGUAGGAGUAAUCCAAACUCUAGAAUCAAUACAUUGCAUCCCCUCUUAAUUCUGUUGAAGUAUGAUAUCCUUUCGGAGAAAAAAUCAAAAUAAAAAAAAUCACAUCACAUGAUGUUGCCUCACUUACAACGACAUUUUAUUUUGGACCCACUCUUGUGACAAAUCCAACCAUAGUACUAUAUUUGUAGCCAUUACACUGGCCAGGCUAGAAGGUGGUAUGCGAUCAAAUUAUACUUUAGUCUGAAAAUCACAUGCAUGCUUUAGGACAUACAUUUGGAUCCAUCUGCCGAGGGUAAUGUGUGUUUCAAUAUAUAUACACACCAAAAAUAUUAUUAGAACGAAUGUGACACCUGAUUAAAGAAGCAAUAAAAAAUUAGUAUUCCCUUUAAAUUUUUUUUUUUUUUUUUUUUUACAAAUUAUGAGAAUCCAUGUGGGUCUACAGGAAAUUAAACCUAUGCUCUGAUACCAAACUAUAACGACCCAAAUUUAAUGACGGAGGAACUCACAGCCGCUACCAUUCGGAUGCGCACUAGGUAAACCCUCGGGCUGACGUAAUAGCUUGCAAAUCACGUCAACCAGGUAAAUCGUACUAGGCAAGCCCGAUGCGACGGACUCGAUUGAGAAAAUAUUGGUAUGAGGAAUCGAACUCGCGAACAAAAGUCUUCGCUCACCAAGGGCGGACGCAGAAAUUUUUAGUUGGGGGGCACAAUCAAACUUUAUACAAAUCGAAUAAUUUGUUUUUUAUUUUUGAAUGAUUUAUACUCGAACUGAGAAAAUGCAGAUUUACAUUUAAAAAGCAUUUCUUCAUUAAAAUUUUGCUCAUCAUUUUCAUCAUUUUGAUUUCGAAUAGUCAUUUUUUUCUCAUCACAAGAAAAUGCAUAUUUAUGUUUCAAAAAUUUAUAAUGUAUUUAAUACAAACAAUCAAUUCAAGUGAUCAAAAGGAAAAAUAUAUUACCAAUAUUCAAUCAAAAAAAUACAAUUCGUUAAAUUGGAUAUAAUCACUCCUGAUACAUUCUAGGUACACAAAUAAGAUAGGAGAAAAUGUCAAUUUAGGUUCUAAUUAAUUGAAAUUUUGAUUGGAAAGUGAAAAUUUACAGUAGAUGUGAUAAUUUGUAGAAAAAUUAUGGACAAAUUUUUAAAAAUUAGAAGGAUUAAAGAUUUGAUAAAAAGUGUGAGAGAGAGCAUAAGAUAGAGUAAGAGAAAAGAGAAAAAAAUUUCAAAUUUAUUGUGAUUUUGCCCACGUUUGGUAGAGUUUUAAAAUUAGAUUUUAGUAUAUUUUAAUAAAAGUAAAAAAGUUAAGGAUUCCAUGAAAUAUGUUAUUAAGAUUAAUUGCUAACUUUGAUUUAGAUUAAAAUUUAGAUUUCAAUUGAUACCUUCCUCACUUUUUAUAAUGUUUGUCAUUUUUUUUUUGAAUUUUUUAAAUUUCCGUCACUUUUUUCACUUUAUUGAAUUUCUAUCACUUUCAACUCAUAGAGCAUUGUGUUCCUAAAAUGAAGUGAAACAUGUAGAAAAAAAUCAACCACCCGUGGAUCUAUUCUAAGGCUUUGAUUUGUGUUUCUCGCUUUUUGGAAUGUGCGUCAUUUUUUAAUUAAAAAGUGACACUUAACUUUGCAUAAAAAAAUUUACGUUCAAAACACUUUUCAUAUGAUUUUUCAAAAGACCCCAUAAUUUUAAGGAUAUUUUGAAAAUUCCUCUUCUAGCAAACCAAUGGUUAGGCCAUAAGACCAAUGAACCUAUUCUACACGUUUAAUUGAAACUCAUCGCAAUAUUAAUGCUUCAUCACAUUUUGUUCCUACAAAAACAACACUAAUGUAACUUUUUAGACGCACACAUUGUGAUUCCAAUUUUUAUUUUCUUCACUUUAUUUCCUAUUGAAAUCUUUACCUUGCUUGUUUCUAUUCGCUGUAUGCAAUAUCAUUUUAAUUUCCCUUUGUUGCCUUUAAUUUUUUCUUGCUUUCCAAUUCUUUCCACCUUUUAUUUACCCUAUAUUGCCAUAUCACCUUUACUCUACAAGGAAAAUAUAUAUAAAAAAAAGGUCAAUUUAAAAAUUGGAAUCUCAAUCUUUUUAAUUCAAACAAGUUAUUCCUCAUCCUUUCCUCUAUAUUUUUUGUAUUUUUUAAGCUUGCUUAUAUUUUCACUAUUUAUAAGAGAAUGGUAUUUACUAAAUUCACCUCUCUAAAGACAUUUGUGAUUGACGGGAUGUUGAGCACACAUCACAUCUUUCAUUACAGUCCAAAAUUCAUUUGGAUUAUAUUUCGGAGUAAAAACAUGGACUCAUGUAGACCCAAGUGUCCUUUGCCUAUGAAAAUGUGCACUAUCUGCACCUAAAUAGAAAGACCCUAUAAAACUUUACUGUUCUCUUUGAUUAGGUUUGGGCUAGUCAACAAUUGACGAAAUGCAUUAGAAUAAUAUCUUCCUCCUCUUUUUAAACAACAAAUGUUUUUAAAAAUAAAUAAACAUUUUCAAUAAAAUUAAUCAUUGACAUGAAAUUCAAAAUAUUACAUUCGAUUUAAACUGCGCUUCCUAACUACCUAUUUACAGUGAGUUAUUUAAUUAUAAUUAAAAAUUUUAAAUUCUUUCAUGUUAAAAAAUUGCUUUUACAAAUCCAACAUAAGACUUACCACCGAUUGAGAUAUAAAAAAUAAAAAAGAAAAAAAAGCCCAAUAUUAGUUUAAAAACUGCUCCACUAAAUGACUGAAAUUGCACUUCAUGAUUGCACAUUUACUUCAAUAAUUAAGAAUUCAAUCUAUAUCAUUCUAUUACCCAUUUAAAUUGGUAACAAGUUCCAUUAAUUUAGUUGUUAUUUUAUCCUAAAUUGGUAACAAGUUCCAUUAAUUUAGUUCACCUUUCAGUUUCCCAUUAAUCCAAAAUCAAUACACUCGAACAGUAGAACCAUAUUUAAUGUUGAUUCACUCAUGCACGAGAAUAUCUAUUCACAACUAGAAACCAUCCAAUGAAUAUCUCAUGCAAAUUCUACAAUACUUGAAGAGUUAUAAUUUAAUAAAUAUUUUCAAGAAGUCAAAAAUUUAUCGACUUAGUAUUUCAAAGAGCAACCCAAAUAGAAAAUAUCUGUAAACAAAAAUUAUAAAUAACUCAAGAUGCCUAAUUGGGAAAAUCUAAGAAAGGCCAAGAAGUAAUGAGAAGGAAGUAAAGAAUGACUUAAAGCUGCAUACAUAUUUUAUUUCUGUACUUGCAUUUACUUUAAUAAAGAAGUAUUUAUGCCUUUCCCCAUUAUAUUAUAAUUACUUUGUGCUUCUUGUCAAAUUGUAUGGUAUAAGCAUUCAAAAAUCCAGUUUAUAAAUAGAGUGCAUGAACUAGAGGAACCGCACACUUCUCUCAACUAACUAUAAUAUCUCAUCUUGCUCAUUCCAAUGGAGUCCUCCCAAUCUUAAGUUAAACGCUCUAAUUUUCCCAAGAAUUUUAUUUUCGGUGCUGCAACAUCGGCAUAUCAGGUGUGUAACUAACUAGUUUAUAUUUUCAUAUACUGUAUCAAGCAAUAAUGAAAAAAGAAUGGACAAGAUUUUAACUUUUUUUACUUUAUUAUCACUGUCCUUUAUUAUUACAUACACCUUAUCAAACAUACCAUUUAUUUGAAAAUAAUUAAAAUUCUCUAACAUCAUCAUCAAAAUGCAUGACUACGUAUCUAAGAGAUUUGUGAUGGACCAACCAACUCCUCGUGACAUCUAUAUGUGUAUUCAAUGUAACAUUACUUAAGUUUUUCAUACUAUUAAGUCAGAUGGAUUCCACCCAAAUCUAGAUCAAAUGGUCUAAUUUUUGUAAGGUUUUAUCUUAGGUGCUGCAACAUCAGCGUAUCAAAUGUAUGUAAUUGGUAUGUUUUAGUAUGUUGCAUCAAAUAGUAUUGGACCGAAAGGACAAUACUUAAUCUAUUAUUACUUCAUUAAUAUUGUCCAAUAUUAUUAAAAUACAUCUUAUCCAAUAUUAUAUUACGUUAAUGUUUGAAAAUAAUGAAGAAUCACUUAAACCAUCAUGAGAACGCAUGAAUGCAUAUGUUAGAAGGUCCAUUCACAUGUAAUAAUUUGGUUGUUUCUUCUUAAUUUCUGGAUAUAUAAUUUCUUUUAUGGAUUAUGUAUUUAAUUACUGCAGGUCGAAGGUGCUUGGAAUGAAGGUGGUAAAGGCAGGAGUAAUUGGGACGUAAUGACUCUACAUUCACGUGGUCUCUCUCUCUCUCUCUAGUAUUUUAGUGUCUGUGUGCAUUAAUUUGUUGAUGUUAAUAUAAUCCUGGGUCGAACAAAUAUAAAAAUAUUAACCAACAUAUAAAAACUAUUCUUUUAACAAUGUUGACCUUUUAAGAUGAAAUCCGUAUUCUCAUAUAGAGCCAACAAGCUCAAACAUCUAUCUGAAGCUACAGAUGUCAAUCCCGCUCGAGAGGCCCACGUCUCAGCCCAUAAAAAGCCUGAGCCGAGGCAAGGCUCGUGGCUUGGUGGAACCAUUUUACCCUUUUCUUUUUCUUUUUCUUUUUUUUUUUCAUUCGGGAUAUAGAUUAGUCAUGUAUUUGUUUUUACUUGAUUUUUUUCUUUUACGUUUUUGGGUCAUUUUAUUGAUUUCUUCUGCUAUCUAUUAUUAAUAUCGCGAUGAACAGGAAUAUCUCUUCUUUUUCCUUUUUUCACCCCCAGCUUUCUGCCAUUGCAAACACGGUUUAGACAUAUUUUUGUCAACAUUUAUUCAUCUAAUGAAUUACAAGAUAGACUUCUUGGUAUACUCAUGGAUAAUGUCGAUGCCUUUUAGAUCCAUCAUUUGAGUAAUUCAUAGCUAUUGGCGCACAUUAUAGUAGUUAUGGCAGAAUGGUGGAUCACAGCUUGGUCAAGGUGUGGAAAUUUUUCCAUCCAAGAUAGGGUCCCUAAAACUGAUGCUGUUACAUGGGAAUUUGGAUAUUUGUGUUAACGAAGCUCAAAAUCUCCCAAACAUGGAUUUAUUCGACAAGAAGCUAGUGAUAUUUGCUUCAGGUGGUGCUUGCAGGCUGCUGCCAGUACAAAUUAUAUUAUAAAAUAAAAAAAGAGUAGGCCCGGGCUCGCCCCAAGUCUAAAAGCUAGAACCAAGCCUUGGUUUUUUCUUUUGCUUGGCUCGGCUCUGGCCAGAAAACCUCAAGCCGUUUUAUGCUCAAACUGCACCUGAACCGUGAUCUUCAACUCACAAGCCAGCUUGACUCAACUCGUUUACAUCUCUAUCUGAAGCUCUCAAACAAGCAUUUGGAUUUUAAGAAUGAUGUUUCAAGCUAGUUCACUAUCCUAUGGAGGCACGUUAAAGCAUAAUCUCAUAUCAGUUAUAUAUACAAUAUUAAUCAACAUAAGGACAUGUGCUACUUAUUUUAAUAAAAUUAAAGUUAUAGGACGACACCCCUCAUUCUUAAUAAUAUACACAUAAGCACGUGUUAGUUUAUACACAUACUAGAAUUGUACUUGUGUUUUUUUAUACAAUGAUCAUUGGUGAGCAUGUAUUUAUGUUUACUAAUUGGAGUGGCAGAUAGCACUGCCGAUGGUAGAAAUGGGUGUGUUACUCUUGAUCACUAUAACUUGUUCAAGGUAUAUGUACUUCAUUUAAUUUUCUUGUGGCAAAGUGAUGGUAAUUACUUUAGUGGACUAAUAUAAAUGGAAAAUAAUCUCAAAUCUAAGAAGUAAUAAGAGGAACUUUAGAGUGUAUUUGAGCCACAUUCUUUUUAAAGAAUGUAUUUUGGAAUAUUUGAUUGGUGGAGAAUGUGUGGUUAAAAAUGAAGGAAAAUUUUUUGAUUUGUGUGUAAUAUUAGUUUAACAACUGAAGAGAAAAUGAAUUGGACUUUCAACUUUAAAUGAAUUAAGAGGACAUUAUAAAAAAUGUCCAUUUUGACAUAGUCAUUGGCAAAAAUGUCCAAAAUUUUUUAAUGUCUAUUUUUGCAAUUAUUUGGACGAGAGUACUCCUAAGUAGCUUCCAUAAAAAGUUACAUUAAAAUGAUGUUCUGGACAUUUCAAAUGUCGUUUUUGAUAUUUGAAUUCAUUUAUAUUUCAAAAGUACACAUGUCAAAUCACAAUAUUAAAUGUUCUCGAUAUUUCAAACAUUGUUCUCGACAUAUUAAAUGUCUAAAAGGAUAUUUCAUUUCAAACAUGAUAUUUCUCUACACUUUAAAUGUUGAUCUCGAUAUUUCUGUGUUUGGCAUUAAUUGCAAUUUGACAUAUGCAAUAUGAAGUUAUUUAUUCUCUCAUAAAGGGUAAAAUAGAGGAUUUGGUAUCAAAUUUGGCCAUUUUUGCAAAGAUUAUCAAAAGUGGACAUUUUCGAAUUAAUAUAUGUAAAAUUGGACAUUUUUUGCCAAUGUGUCAUGAAUUAAAUGAUUCUUGGUAAGCAACAAUAACAUUAAUUCGUCCCCAAUAUUCAAAAUGAUAAAUUCAUGACCACCAUUUCGAACCUAACGUUUAAGAUGUGUUGAUACUUUGUUAGCACUUGAAGUCAAAAAGUCUAACUUUGAAAAAAAACUGAAGAUACAUAACUAGGGAAUGCUAUAUGGGCGGCAGACAACCCCCAGCCCUGUUUGGAUAGGGGCUGUUCAAGGAGUUUUAUCCUACAUAACUGUUUUCCAUUGUACUUGAUUGUACUACAGUUUAAGCCACCAAGAAUAAAUAUUUUUCAUUGUAAGUUGUACUCAUUUUCAUUAUUAAUGUUGCAGGAAGACGUGGCUUUGAUCAAGAAAGUUGGUUUGGACUCUUAUAGAUUUUCAAUUGCAUGGUCGAGAAUCUUACCAUGUAUUGGACUCUACUUCUAUAAAAUUAAUUACAAAGAGAUUUUUUUUUUUUAAAUGAAUGUAGUGUCCUUCUAUAAAAAUCCUCUCUAGGCAAGGUGGACAAGAUUCAGGACAAUAUAAAGUUUACUGUCUACAUUGAGAAGGAAGACUAGAGUUUCUAAAUGGACUAGAGAUCCUCGUCAACUUUGUCUAGAUUUCGAGUUGCCCAGACGGUUCGAAAUUCAUGGAAAGAGAGAAAUUUAGUAAAACAUUUGAUGAGGAAGUGAUAUCUUUAGAACGAAUGACAAAAAAUUUGAAAAGUAGAAGUUAUUUAGAAAACGAGUAGUCUCUAAUAUGACCUUUCCAUGCGAUUUCCUUAGAUUUUAAUAUCAAGUAAAGAUUCCAUGUUUGUAUUUCCAUUUGUAUUUAAAUUAUAUUAAUAUUUUAGGUUGUAGACUCUGCGCUGGCAUAAGUAAAGAAUGAAUCAAGUACUAUAACGACCUCAUAGAUGCACUUUUGGCAGAAGGUUAGAUUCCGAUAUAUAUAAAAUUCACACUUUUAUUAUUUCUUCAAGAAGCUGAUGUUCAUUUAUAAUUAAUUCAUUCAUAAUUGGAAGUUCAAGAGUUGAUAUGCCUUUGAAAUCGCUUAUCUUUUUAUAUGCCGUAAAUAUAAAAUCAAAAGAUAUUAUCUUGAGUUCUCCUCAUUACUUUCGUGUAGGCAUUGAGCCGUGUGCAACUAUCUUCCACUGGGAUAUUCCCCAAUGUUUGGAAGAUGAAUAUGGUGGCUUCUUAGAUCAUCAAGUUGUGUAAGUAACUUCAUCUUGCAUCACAGGGAACAUCUUGUACUAUAUAUUUGACAAAGGAAUUAAGCAAAGUUAUUUUCUCAAAAACUAUGUAUCAAAGGAAAAAGCAGAAACGAUUUCUUUAAAGAAAAUGGAUAUUACUAAUAAGCGAUAGAAUAAUGGCAGAAUGACCUCUUGUAUAAAGAUUAAUGGCAGAUUUGUUUCCACAGAUAUGUUUUGAUAUUAACUUGUUCUAAAUUGCUAUUAUAGAAAAUAUUUUUGUGAGUUUGCUGAGGUUUGCUUUUGGGAGUUUGGUGAUCGAGUGAAACGUUGGAUCACACUGAAUGAGCCAUGGGCCUUCAGUUACUGUGGCUAUGUGAGAGGCAAUUUUCCCCCUCGUCAAGGAAAACCUCCUCCAAAUAAGGCGGAACCAGAGACGGGUGUCCAGUAUGGUGCAAAUUUAAUGGAUCAUGUGAUGAGUCUCCUGGGUGCAACAUCAAUGGAAGAACUUGCAGCAUCAAUUGAACAACUGUUGCGUAACUUGAUCCUUCAUCAUAG
rnacentral:lncRNA from 1 species